GGUAUCCCUACCAUGACUGGGGGUGUCCCUUGUUUAGUACCAGCUAUCCGCAAUGAGCGUCUACCCAAGGACUUCAAAGGCCCUAGGAAGGUGCCUAAUUACACAGCAGACUUACAGACUGCAGCCUGGAUCGAGAGUUAUGAGAUGGCUAUGGAGCUGCUGGAGGUCAGUGAGGCGGCCAUGGCUAAGUAUUUCACCAUGAUGUUAGAUGGGACUGCCCGCACUUGGUUGAAAGGGCUACCACCGAAUUCCAUUGGGUCUUGGGCUGAGCUGAAAGCCCGGUUCAUCCAAAACUUCAAGGACACCUGUAGGUAG
rnacentral:rRNA from 1 species